UGCAUGGCUGUCGUCAGCUCGUGUCGUGAGAUGUUGGGUUAAGUCCCGCAACGAGCGCAACCCUUGUCCUUAGUUACCAGCACGUAAUGGUGGGCACUCUAAGGAGACUGCCGGUGACAAACCGGAGGAAGGUGGGGCUGACGUCAAGUCAUCAUGGCCCUUACGGCCUGGGCUACACACGUGCUACAAUGGUCGGUACAGAGGGUUGCCAAGCCGCGAGGUGGAGCUAAUCCCACAAAACCGAUCGUAGUCCGGAUCGCAGUCUGCAACUCGACUGCGUGAAGUCGGAGUCGCUAGUAAUCGCGAAUCAGAAUGUCGCGGUGAAUACGUUCCCGGGUCUUGUACAACGC
rnacentral:rRNA from 1 species